AUAAAUGUGCGGUUGGUUAAUGGAAACAGUCCCUGCAGUGGGACAGUGGAGGUUCUUCAUAGAGGUCAGUGGGGAACAGUGUGUGAUGUUGGCUGGGAUUUGGCUGAUGCUGCAGUGGUGUGUAGAGAGCUGGACUGUGGAGAACCUGUAGAUGCUGUGAGUGAUGCUCAGGUUGGGCUCGGAUCAGGACCAGUCUGGAUGAAUAAUGUAAUGUGUACUGGAUCUGAGUCCACACUGAAGAAGUGUGGAUCUGUCAUAUGGGGUUUUCAAAGUGUGUGUCAGAGCAAGAGUGCAGGAGUCAUCUGCUCAGGUGUCAGGCUGGUUGGAGGUUCUCGCUGCUCUGGGAGGUUAGAAAUACUUCAUGAUCAGACGUGGAUGUCAGUGUGUGACGCUGUCUUUGACCAGCAGGAUGCAGAGGUUGUGUGUAGAGAGCUGGACUGUGGGGCUCCUGUACAGGU